rnacentral:rRNA from 1 species
CAGUCGCCACGGGAAUACGUAGGGUGCAAGCGUUAAUCGGAAUUACUGGGCGUAAAGCGUGCGCAGGCGGUUAUAUAAGACAGAUGUGAAAUCCCCGGGCUCAACCUGGGAACUGCAUUUGUGACUGUAUAGCUAGAGUACGGCAGAGGGGGAUGGAAUUCCGCGUGUAGCAGUGAAAUGCGUAGAUAUGCGGAGGAACACCGAUGGCGAAGGCAAUCCCCUGGGCCUGUACUGACGCUCAUGCACGAAAGCGUGGGGAGCAAACAGGAUUAGAUACCCCGGUAGUCCCUGUCUCUUUAUA